rnacentral:rRNA from 1 species
AUUGAACGCUGGCGGCAGGCUUAACACAUGCAAGUCGAGCGGUAGCACAGGGUAGCUUGCUCCCUGGGUGACGAGCGGCGGACGGGUGAGUAAUGUCUGGGAAACUGCCUGAUGGAGGGGGAUAACUACUGGAAACGGUAGCUAAUACCGCAUAACGUCGCAAGACCAAAGAGGGGGACCUUCGGGCCUCUUGCCAUCAGAUGUGCCCAGAUGGGAUUAGCUAGUAGGUGGGGGAAUGGCUCACCUAGGCGACGAUCCCUAGCUGGUCUGAGAGGAUGACCAGCCACACUGGAGCUGAGACACGGUCCAGACUACUACGGAGGCAGCAGUGGGGAAUAUUGCACAAUGGGCGCAAGCCUGAUGCAGCCAUGCCGCGUGUGUGAAGAAGGCCUUCGGGUUGUAAAGCACUUUCAGCGAGGAGGAAGGUGGUGAACUUAAUACGCUCAUCAAUUGACGUUACUCGCAGAAGAAGCACCGGCUAACUCCGUGCCAGCCGCCGCGGUAA